UACGUAGGGGGCUAGCGUUGUUCGGAUUCAUUGGGCGUAAAGGGUGCGUAGGCGGCGCGGUAAGUCGGGUGUGAAAUCUUGGAGCUUAACUCCGAAACUGCAUUCGAUACUGCCGUGCUUGAGGACUGGAGAGGAGACUGGAAUUUACGGUGUAGCGGUGAAAUGCGUAGAUAUCGUAAGGAAGACCAGUGGCGAAGGCGGGUCUCUGGACAGUUCCUGACGCUGAGGCACGAAGGUCAGGGGAGCAAACGGG
rnacentral:rRNA from 1 species